GAGCCAUUAGCUCAGUUGGUAGAGCAUCUGACUUUUAAUCAGAGGGUCGCUGGUUCGAACCCAGCACGGCUCA
rnacentral:tRNA from 1 species